rnacentral:rRNA from 1 species
GACGAACGCUGGCGGCGUGCCUAAUACAUGCAAGUAGAACGCUGAAGGAGGAGCUUGCUUCUCUGGAUGAGUUGCGAACGGGUGAGUAACGCGUAGGUAACCUGCCUGGUAGCGGGGGAUAACUAUUGGAAACGAUAGCUAAUACCGCAUAAGAGUAGAUGUCGCAUGACAUUUGCUUAAAAGGUGCAAUUGCAUCACUACCAGAUGGACCUGCGUUGUAUUAGCUAGUUGGUGAGGUAACGGCUCACCAAGGCAACGAUACAUAGCCGACCUGAGAGGGUGAUCGGCCACACUGGGACUGAGACACGGCCCAGACUCCUACGGGAGGCAGCAGUAGGGAAUCUUCGGCAAUGGUCGGAAGUCUGACCGAGCAACGCCGCGUGAGUGAAGAAGGUUUUCGGAUCGUAAAGCUCUGUUGUAAGAGAAGAACGAGUGUGAGAGUGGAAAGUCCACACUGUGACGGUAUCUUACCAGAAAGGGACGGCUAACUACGUG